GGCGAUUUCUUAUUCUUUCCUUGGUUCCUUGUGCUGUUCUCAUUGUCAUGGUGUCAAGAUGUCCAGUGGAUUUUGCGACUUGAAUUAGCUCAUGCUGUGUAAUUUACCUGAAUAUGUUAACUACACGAUAACACAGGGGAGGUUUGGGUUGGAUAUUAGGAGGAAAUUUUUCACCCAGAGGGUGGUGACGCACUGGAACAGGUUGCCCAAGGAGGCUGUGGAUGCCCCAUCCCUGGAGGCAUUCAAGGCCAGGCUGGAUGUGGCUCUGGGCAGCCUGGUCUGGUGGUUGGCGACCCUACACAUGGCAGGGGGUUGGAACUCGAUGAUUAUUGUGGUCCUUUUCAACCCAGGCCAUUCUACGAUUCUGUGAUUCUAUGAUUCCAUUUCCAAAACAGAACUAGAAUAGGUGAGCUUCAUUUCUGUCCAGGAAGACACUAAAAAGCAGUGAUGAAAAAUUUCCAAAGAAUGUCUUUUCUUGAGAGGGACUGUGCCCUUUGGAGAAAUAAAACAACAUCUCUUUGCAGAUCUAAAAUACAAGAGCUUGCCAUUCUGUAGUACUUUUCAAGUGCCUGCACAGGAGGAAGAGAAAGGAGUAAACACAUAGUUUGGUACAAUCAAACACCUUGUGGAAAGUGAUAGCUCCAGGCACUUGCCCAGCUGUGUUUACCUGGUCGUGAUUAACCAGCUUGGUAACCACUGCUAAAUCUGAGUCAAACAUGUUUAUCUGUGUAGCUCCAUCUUUCUGUAGCUCCACUGCUUUAUGAAUGAAUUGCAUUUCCAAGAUGGUUACUGAAAUCACGUUGGAAGCCAUUUCAUUUGUACAUCUGCUACUACUGCUUUUAUUUACUUGAGCUGAUGAAUUGUUGUGCAUCUUACAAUACAG
ensembl:lncRNA